rnacentral:rRNA from 1 species
AUUGACUAAGGUUUCCAGAGGAAGGCUCGUCCGCUCUGGGUUAGUCGGGUCCUAAGCUGAGGCCGACAGGCGUAGGCGAUGGAUAACAGGUUGAUAUUCCUGUACCACCUAUAAUCGUUUUAAUCGAUGGGGGGACGCAGUAGGAUAGGCGAAGCGUGCGAUUGGAUUGCACGUCUAAGCAGUAAGGCUGAGUAUUAGGCAAAUCCGGUACUCGUUAAGGCUGAGCUGUGAUGGGGAGAAGACAUUGUGUCUUCGAGUCGUUGAUUUCACACUGCCGAGAAAAGCCUCUAGAUAGAAAAUAGGUGCCCGUACCGCAAACCGACACAGGUAGUCAAGAUGAGAAUUCUAAGGUGAGCGAGCGAACUCUCGUUAAGGAACUCGGCAAAAUGACCCCGUAACUUCGGGAGAAGGGGUGCUCUUUAGGGUUAACGCCCAGAAGAGCCGCAGUGAAUAGGCCCAAGCGACUGUUUAUCAAAAACACAGGUCUCUGCUAAACCGUAAGGUGAUGUAUAGGGGCUGACGCCUGCCCGGUGCUGGAAGGUUAAGAGGAGUGGUUAGCUUCUGCGAAGCUACGAAUCGAAGCCCCAGUAAACGGCGGCCGUAACUAUAACGGUCCUAAGGUAGCGAAAUUCCUUGUCGGGUAAGUUCCGACCCGCACGAAAGGCGUAACGAUUUGGGCACUGUCUCAACGAGAGACUCGGUGAAAUCAUAGUACCUGUGAAGAUGCAGGUUACCCGCGACAGGACGGAAAGACCCCGUGGAGCUUUACU